rnacentral:rRNA from 1 species
UGUGUAGGCGGUUCUUUAAGUUUGGUGUGAAAUCUCCCGGCUUAACCGGGAGGGUGCGCCGAAUACUGAGGAACUAGAGUGCGGGAGAGGAAAGUGGAAUUCCUGGUGUAGCGGUGAAAUGCGUAGAUAUCAGGAGGAACACCGGUGGUGUAGACGGCUUUCUGGACCGUAACUGACGCUGAGACACGAAAGCGUGGGUAGCAAACAGGAUUAGAUACCCUGGUAGUCCACGCCCUAAACGAUGCAUAUUUGGUGUGGGUCAUUCAGUUGAUCCGUGCCGGAGCUAACGCGUUAAAUAUGCCGCCUGGGGAGUACAGUCGCAAGGCUGAA